ensembl:lncRNA
UGUCUGUGCCCCUCAACAAUAAUAUUUAACUAUUAAUCACAUUUUUGCUAAAUAAAAGGAUCUGGCUUGCAUCAGUCACAUGAUCACCAUUAACCAAUGAUCGCCCUUGACGGCAGAACGCGCUGGUUACGAGCCGGGAACGAGCUCACAAAGUGCACGUGCAUUUUUUGCGGUCCGGAGCUGUAGGAGAAACACAAAUUAACUCAGAGACACAGACUGAUGCGACAAAACCAACAUGGCUGGUAAGGACAUGAGGAGGAAACAGUAGGAGCUGUGUGAGGCUACUAAAGGCAGUGGAUCCCUCAGCAGCUGGAUUACAAAGAGCACAGAUGGACAGCAAGUGGAGAGUCAUAGAUGAGAUGAGGGGAUGGAAGGAGGAAGAGAGGCAAAGAGUGAUUCACAGGCAGGGUCUAGUUUAUUUCUCAGUUUUUUGUUGCCUUAUGGUUCCAUGCGCUGUCACCAAUCUUUGCAUUUUGUUGUUAUCUCAUGACACGUGUUUAAUCAGCUACCAUCUCUCCUAUGGACUUUUUAAUGUCUACAGCAGGGGUCUGCAACCUUUAACACCCAAAGAGCCAUUUGGACCCGGUUUCCACGCAAAAGAAAACACUGGGAGCCUCAAAUACUUUUUGACAUCUAAAAUGAAGAUAACACUGUAUAUAUUGUUUUUUACCUUUGUGUGAACAACUAAGGUGCGCUGCUUAUGAAAUCCAUGAAGUGCUACAGAGAAAAUUACAUUUUAUUUAUGUAAUCAACACAUUUUGAACUCUUAGAGAAAUAUAACAAAAGGAAAGACACCCAGCUGAACUAAAAUGAUCCAUGUAGCAAACA